AGAAGUGAGAAUGCCGGUGUGAGUAGCGAAAGACGGGUGAGAAUCCCGUCCACCGAUUGACUAAGGUUUCCAGAGGAAGGCUCGUCCGCUCUGGGUUAGUCGGGUCCUAAGCUGAGGCCGACAGGCGUAGGCGAUGGAUAACAGGUUGAUAUUCCUGUACCACCAUUAUUCGUUUUAAGCGAUGGGGGGACGCAGUAGGAUAGGCGAAGCGUGCUGUUGGAGUGCACGUCCAAGCAGUGAGAUUGAGUGUUAGGCAAAUCCGGCACUCUUAAGAUUGAGCUGUGAUGGGGAGAGGAACUUGUUCCUCGAGUCGUUGAUUUCACACUGCCGAGAAAAGCCUCUAGCUAGAAUAACGGUGCCCGUACCGCAAACCGACACAGGUAGUCAAGAUGAGAAUUCUAAGGUGAGCGAGCGAACUCUCGUUAAGGAACUCGGCAAAAUGACCCCGUAACUUCGGGAGAAGGGGUGCUCUUUGAGGUUCACGCUUCGAAGAGCCGCAGUGAAUAGGCCCAAGCGACUGUUUAUCAAAAACACAGGUCUCUGCUAAACCGUAAGGUGACGUAUAGGGGCUGACGCCUGCCCGGUGCUGGAAGGUUAAGAGGAGUGGUUAGCGCAAGCGAAGCUACGAAUCGAAGCCCCAGUAAACGGCGGCCGUAACUAUAACGGUCCUAAGGUAGCGAAAUUCCUUGUCGGGUAAGUUCCGACCCGCACGAAAGGCGUAACGAUUUGGGCACUGUCUCAACGAGAGACUCGGUGAAAUCAUAGUACCGGUGAAGAUGCCGGUUACCCGCGACAGGACGGAAAGACCCCGUGGAGCUUUACUGUAGCCUGAUAUUGAAAUUCGGUACAGUUUGUACAGGAUAGGUAGGAGCCUUAGAAGCGUGAGCGCUAGCUUACGUGGAGGCAUUGGUGGGAUACUACCCUAAUUGUAUUGGAUUUCUAACCCGCAGCACUUAUCGUGCUGGGAGACAGUGUCAGGCGGGCAGUUUGACUGGGGCGGUCGCCUCCUAAAGAGUAACGGAGGCGCUCAAAGGUUCCCUCAGAAUGGUUGGAAAUCAUUCAUAGAGUGUAAAGGCAUAAGGGAGCUUGACUGCGAGACCUACAAGUCGAGCAGGGUCGAAAGACGGACUUAGUGAUCCGGUGGUUCCGCAUGGAAGGGCCAUCGCUCAACGGAUAAAAGCUACCCCGGGGAUAACAGGCUUAUCUCCCCCAAGAGUUCACAUCGACGGGGAGGUUUGGCACCUCGAUGUCGGCUCAUCGCAUCCUGGGGCUGUAGUCGGUCCCAAGGGUUGGGCUGUUCGCCCAUUAAAGCGGUACGCGAGCUGGGUUCAGAACGUCGUGAGACAGUUCGGUCCCUAUCCGUCGUGGGCGUAGGAAAUUUGAGAGGAGCUGUCCUUAGUACGAGAGGACCGGGAUGGACAUACCUCUGGUGUACCAGUUGUCGUGCCAACGGCAUAGCUGGGUAGCUAUGUAUGGACGGGAUAAGUGCUGAAAGCAUCUAAGCAUGAAGCCCCCCUCGAGAUGAGAUUUCCCAACUUC
rnacentral:rRNA from 1 species